AAUCAACGCUGGCGGCAGGCCUAACACAUGCAAGUCGAACGGAUGUAGCAAUACAUUAGUGGCGCACGGGUGCGUAACACGUGGGAAUGUACCCCAGGGUAAGGAAUAAUGUCUGGAAACGGACACUAAUACCUUAUAAUGACUUUGGUCCAAAGAUUUAUCGCCCUGGGAUCAGCCCGCGCCUGAUUAGCUAGUUGGUGAGGUAAUGGCUCACCAAGGCUACGAUCAGUAGCUGGUCUGAGAGGAUGAUCAGCCACACUGGAACUGAGACACGGUCCAGACUCCUACGGGAGGCAGCAGUGAGGAAUAUUGCACAAUGGAGGAAACUCUGAUGCAGCCAUGCCGCGUGAGUGAAGAAGGCCUUCGGGUUGUAAAGCUCUUUUAGUCGUGAAGAUAAUGACGGUAGCGACAGAAAAAGCCCCGGCUAAAUUCGUGCCAGCCGCCGCAGUAACAC
rnacentral:rRNA from 1 species